UACGGAGGGGGCUAGCGUUGUUCGGAAUUACUGGUGGUAAAGCGCACGUAGGCGGAUUGUUAAGUCAGGGGUGAAAUCCUGGAGCUCAACUCCAGAACUGCCUUUGAUACUGGCGAUCUCGAGUCCGGGAGAGGUGAGUGGAACUGCGAGUGUAGAGGUGAAAUUCGUAGAUAUUCGCAAGAACACCAGUGGCGAAGGCGGCUCACUGGCCCGGUACUGACGCUGAGGUGCGAAAGCGUGGGGAGCAAACAGG
rnacentral:rRNA from 1 species